rnacentral:tRNA from 1 species
GCGCCAGUAGCUCAACUGGAUAGAGCAUAGGACUUCUAAUCCUAAGGCUGGGGGUUCGAUUCCUCUCUGGCGUACCA